rnacentral:lncRNA from 1 species
GUUUGUGCUUGUUGCACCACUCAUUUUCAGCUCUUCAGGUCCUACUCACUGGAUGAGCAGAUCAAAGAACUGAUAGGACAGAAUUAAGAACUUGGUUCUUAGUCUGUGAGGGCACGCUUAAGAGGAGAGGGUCAGACAGUCUGAUCCUUGUCAACCCCCAGGGAGCUUCGAGGAGAGCCAUGCAGUAGCGGCUACACCGGACGCAGUUGCAUGGCACAAAUUCUUUGUGGCACAUCGAUGGCAACCAUAAGCUGAUCCGGAAACAAAGGGAGGAGACAACCUCGGAGGCAGAGACUCUGCCUAUGGCGUUAGGCCUCCCUGUUGACUCUCGACAAGCUUCAGUGACACUAGAGUCUCUAGAGGAAACAUUGGAGAUACGGCGUCUUAGUCUUCAAGACCAUCUCUCUCUGGCUGCAGAACAGGAGAAAG